CUUUUUAGCAGAGGCCUUACGGGUGCGCGCUUCGGUCCUGGAGGCCUUAUCCUAACCUCCUCUCCAUCAGCGCCACCCGUCUGGGGCCCGAAACGAGGGAGCUUUCCCUCUGUCCCCCAGCCUUUGGACUGUCACCAAACAAGCCAUUCGUUCAUCAAAAAUACUUAUUAAGCGCCUACCAUGUGCCUGACAAGGGAGAUGUAACGGUGAGAAAAAGUAGGUGUGGUCCAGGCCCUCCAGGGGCUCAGGGGCUCGUGGAAGAAGUGGACAUUGAAAUACUUAUCACACAAAUGAGGAUAAAAGUACGAUAGCGAUAUCUGCCACGAAGCUGUUGUUCCACACCAGAACCAAAUGAGCGCAAGAUCUGACAAAGAAAAAAAAAGUCCCUGUAUCCUGAGAUGGAGUCACCUAAGAAUCCACAGCAAGUCCUAACCAGGGAUGGGUCUGGGUGAUUAAGGAAGGUUGGCUUCAGAACUGGGCCAGGGGCACUGCUUUGCUUUUGCUGUUUUGAUCAGCUCUCUGCCUGCAGGAGACAAGGAAAACCAAUGGGAACAGCUGGGGAAACUGAGUUACAGAGCUUUUCUGCACUGAGUCAUCAGGAGCAAAUGCUAGAUCAGAUAGGGUCUCUCUCUCUGCCACCCAGGCCAGAGUGCAGUUGACGCAGGGCAGGGGAGCCCCGAAGUGGAGCAUAGCGUGUCCGGAACUGGUGGGUUCUUGGUCUCACUGACUUCAAGAAUGAAGCCGCGGACCCUCGCGAAAUGAGGCUUCUCCCUGGGACCAGCAUUCCACGAAGGCAGCCCUUUUCUAGAUGGAGAAAACAGAACCUGAAGACACCCGUUUCCCUAAACUGCUCUUGCUCAUGUUUCUACAAGGCCUGGAGCUGAUACGAAAAACCUCCCUUCUUUCCCAAAUGCUCCCCAGCUUCCCCGUUCACUGAAGGCCCUGCAGUCAGGAACAGUCAGGACUUUGCACCCAGUUGUUGUGGGUGUUUGGCCGACUCUUCCUCUUGUGUGAUUCAUGGACCCUCAGCAUUGCAUCACCUAGGAGCUUUUGGAAUUGAAGACUCUCAGGGCUCACCCGGAAGGACCUCCUGGGCCAGAAUCUGCAUUUUAACAAGAUGCUCAGGUGAUUUGCAUACACGUUCAGAUCUGAGAAGCGCUAAUAAGGGAGACUUUAAGGUGGUAAUUAGAUCUUUUCUCCACCUGCAAGAAUCUUAGUUUCUUCAUGUUAAAUCUAUUAACUGUGGCAAUGUAAUGGAGGUUAUAAAACAAAACAAAAUCCUUACAUCAAGAAUGCACCCUGGUGUGUUAUGGAUGUGGGUGAAAUGAAGUGUCUGGAAUUUGCUUUAAAAUAUCCUAAAAUAGCAAGAAGGAAAAGAAAAGUGGAAACUGGAAUGAGAUUGGAGAAAUAUUGACAAGUUCUUGCAGUGGGAUGAUGAGUGCAUGGGGGUUCAUGGUGUAAUUCUCUCCCUGCUUUUUAUGCAUAUGGGAAAUUUCCAUAAUGAAUAGUUAGAGGUCGGGCACGGUGGCUCAUGCCUGUAAUCUCAGCAUUUUGGGAGGCUGAGGUGGGUAGAUUGCUUGAACCUAG